GAAAUGCGAUAAGUAAUGUGAAUUGCAGAAUUCAGUGAAUCAUCGAAUCUUUGAACGCUCAUUGCGCCCGCCAGUAUUCUGGCGGGCAUGCCUGUUCGAGCGUCAUUUCAACCAUCAAGCCCCCGGCUUGUGUUGGGGACCUGCGGCUGCCCGCAGGCCCUGAAAAACAGUGGCGGGCUCGCUGUCACACCGAGCGUAGUAGCAUACAUUCUCGCUCAGGGCGUGCUGCGGGUUCCGGCCGUUAAACGACCUUCAUAACCCAAGGUUGACCUCGGAUCAGGUAGGAAGACCCGCUGAACUUAAGC
rnacentral:misc_RNA from 1 species